rnacentral:rRNA from 1 species
AUUGAACGCUGGCGGAAUGCUUUACACAUGCAAGUCGAACGGCAGCACGGGGCAACCUGGUGGCGAGUGGCGAACGGGUGAGUAAUAUAUCGGAACGUGCCCAAUCGUGGGGGGAUAACGUAGCGAAAGUUACGCUAAUACCGCAUACGAUCUACGGAUGAAAGCGGGGGAUCGCAAGACCUCGCGCGAAUGGAGCGGCCGAUAUCAGAUUAGGUAGUUGGUGGGGUAAAGGCUCACCAAGCCAACGAUCUGUAGCUGGUCUGAGAGGAUGGCCAGCCACACUGGAACUGAGACACGGUCCAGACUCCUACGGGAGGCAGCAGUGAGGAAUCUUGCGCAAUGGGGGAAACCCUGACGCAGCAACGCCGCGUGAGUGAGGAAGGCCUUCGGGUCGUAAAGCUCUGUCAGAUGGGAAGAAAGUGGAUGGGGGCUAAAGUACUACGCCCCAAUCCGUUGACGGUACCAUCAGAGGAAGCACCGGCUAACUCCGUGCC